AAAUGAUUCAAAUAAUAAAUGAUUCAGUCUUUUUAUGGAGAGUGGAGCAGAGCUGCACAAGCAGAAUUGUUGGGAGUUUUGCUGCUUUAUUAAUAAUUCCUGAUUCAAACGCACAGCAAGUGGUCCUUUUGUGCCUUUCCAUGCUUAUACAGGUGUAGUACUUACUGUGAGGCAGCAGGUUUUUUCUGCUUUUUCCAAACCAGUGUUGGAAUCUUCAGCAGGGAAAGGAGGUGUUUCGUGGGUUUUCAUUUUUCCUGAAGAUGUUAACAGAGUAGCAUUGUUGCCCCUUAUUUUGGAAGUCAAACAUGCAAGUAUGUAUAUUUACCAAAAAAAAAAAAAAAGAGCCUAGGAUUCUUAAUUAUGCCAGAAUGGUUGAUGUAUUUUUUUUUUCUUUAACAUGACAGUUAAAGUCUGCUGCUUCUAUCCUUUCUCGUCAACAUAUGCUAAGCAAAGGAGUCCAUCUGCUGAGUUUUACGAUCCCCAGAGUGUUGCAUCCCUCAAGUACUUCAGAUUUGGCCAUUACCAACAGAGGCUGCCUUCAGCAUGAUUCCUGUCUGCGUGCAGUAUUUGAUGUCGAACUUGAAGAGCAAUUCUGCAUAUACAAUUCAAUGUUCUGUUCUGCACAUCUCGAGAUUCCUGUCUGCUUGCAAUAUUCAGCAUCAAACUUCAAGAGCAUUAUUGCACAUAAAUUUACCUUUAGCAAAGUCUGGAGUUGAAUGUGUUUUUCCUCAGCCGGCAUAGUGUUGAAUCUGAAAUGAUUUUUAGCAGUGCUACAGUUUUUACCUCUCUUCCACUAUUUGCAGAUUGUGCAUGGCAGCAACAGGGCUGUAAUCCAACCAAAGGGAGGCCUUCGGAGCGAGAAACACAAUUUGGGACUUCAAUAAGAGGAGAGCUUUGCGG
rnacentral:lncRNA from 1 species